CCUGUGCCCGAUAGAGACCCUUGUAAAACGUGCCGCUGCCUCAAUGGGGAGGUUAAGUGUGACACGAUAUCCUGUCCAAAGCUGGCAUGCUACGACACGUUCAAACCGUCCGGAAGGUGCUGUCCACGCUGUAAAGAAAGUUGCACGCGUGACGGCAAAACAUACGAACACGGAAAACCGGUUCCGGACGCUGACCCAUGCAGGAAUUGGACGUGCGACAACGGUAGAGUGAAAUGUGACAUCGUGGUCUGCCCGAUACUGAACUGCUACGUCACAGUCCCGCAGCCAGGCAAAUGUUGUCCGAUAUGUAAAGAAUAUAACAAAUGCAAGAAGAGCGACCAAGAAUACAAGCAUGG